rnacentral:rRNA from 1 species
GAUGAACGCUGGCGGCGUGCCUAAUACAUGCAAGUCGAGCGAACGGACGAGAAGCUUGCUUCUCUGAUGUUAGCGGCGGACGGGUGAGUAACACGUGGAUAACCUACCUAUAAGACUGGGAUAACUUCGGGAAACCGGAGCUAAUACCGGAUAAUAUUUUGAACCGCAUGGUUCAAAAGUGAAAGACGGUCUUGCUGUCACUUAUAGAUGGAUCCGCGCUGCAUUAGCUAGUUGGUAAGGUAACGGCUUACCAAGGCAACGAUGCAUAGCCGACCUGAGAGGGUGAUCGGCCACACUGGAACUGAGACACGGUCCAGACUCCUACGGGAGGCAGCAGUAGGGAAUCUUCCGCAAUGGGAGAAGGCCUGACGGAGCAACGCCGCGUGAGUGAUGAAGGUCUUCGGAUCGUAAAACUCUGUUAUUAGGGAAGAACAUAUGUGUAAGUAACUGUGCACAUCUUGACGGUACCUAAUCAGAAAGCCACGGCUAACUACGUG